CCGACUCUCUCUUCUCUCUCCUCUCCCCCGAAACCGAAAACAGAGCAUAACUUCUCCGGCCAUUUUCUCACAGCUCCGGCCAUCUUUUGAGGUGAAACCAAGCCCAGAUCGACUCACCUCAUUCCUUUGAGUCGACUUCUGGUCACCGUUUCCCUUCUAGUGGCGGCUACGCAGCGGUGGAGCUCAAACACUAUCCGAGCCCUAAAACGAACCAGCAGCGAUUUCUCCUAGCUCCGGCCACCAAAACUCGAGGCUCUUGGCUUGUUGAACUCGCCUUGAGUUGCUUAACAAUCACCAAAAAGGACAGCACCGGAAGUGGAGGUUUUAACGCUCGUCGGAGGCCUCGUCGUUUUCUGCAGCUUUUCCGGCCAAACCGGACUGUUUUGGUGAUUGACGGUUUGAGGUGGCGGACGAUUGUGAAUCGUAUUUUGAGCUGUUAAGAAGACGCAGCGGGAAUUUUGAAGGGUUAUUGUGCAGGUUAGAAUAUCGAUCAAUCGUCAUCAAAGCUGAGGUGUACGUUCGGUAGCGUGGACGUGGAAGGGUACUCUUGGUUCUAGUCUUCCGCUGUGUUGUGAGUGUAGAGAGUGCGU